CCCAACAACGCCGCGUGAGGGAUGAAGGCCUUCGGGUUGUAAACCUCUUUUCUUGGGGAAGAAUAAUGACGGUACCCGUGGAAUAAGCUUCGGCCAACUACGUGCCAGCAGCCGCGGUAAUACGUAGGAAGCGAACGUUAUUCGGAUUUAUUGGGCGUAAAGGGAGCGUAGGCGGUUUCUCAAGUCGGAUGUGAAAUCUUCUGACUCAAUCAGGAGGGGCGAUUU
rnacentral:rRNA from 1 species